UACGUAGGGUGCGAGCGUUAAUCGGAAUUACUGGGCGUAAAGCGUGCGCAGGCGGUUUUGUAAGACAGGCGUGAAAUCCCCCGGGCUCAACCUGGGAAUGGCGCUUGUGACUGCAAAGCUGGAGUGCGGCAGAGGGGAUGGAAUUCCGCGGUGUAGCAGUGAAAUGCGUAGAUAUGCGGAGGAACACCGAUGGCGAAGGCAAUCCCCUGGGCCUGCACUGACGCUCAUGCACGAAGGCGUGGGGAGC
rnacentral:rRNA from 1 species